rnacentral:rRNA from 1 species
AAACCAACAGGGAUUGCCCCAGUAACGGCGAGUGAAGCGGCAAAAGCUCAAAUUUGAAAUCUGGCCUCCUACGGGGGUCCGAGUUGUAAUUUGUAGAGGAUGCUUCGGGUGUGGCCGCCGUCUAAGUUCCUUGGAACAGGACGUCAGAGAGGGUGAGAAUCCCGUCUUGGGCGGCCGGUCCGCGCCCGUGUGAAGCUCCUUCGACGAGUCGAGUUGUUUGGGAAUGCAGCUCUAAGCGGGUGGUAAAUUUCAUCUAAAGCUAAAUACUGGUCGGAGACCGAUAGCGCACAAGUAGAGUGAUCGAAAGGUUAAAAGCACCUUGAAAAGGGAGUUAAACAGCACGUGAAAUUGUUGAAAGGGAAGCGCUUGCGGCCAGACUCGGGGGCGGGGUUCAGCGGGCGCUCGUCGCCCGUGCACUCCCCGUCUCCCGGGCCAGCAUCAGUUUCGACGGCCGGUCAAAGGCCUCCGGAAUGUGUCGUCUCUCGGGACGUCUUAUAGCCGGGGGUGCAAUGCGGCCCGUCGGGACUGAGGAACGCGCUUCGGCUCGGAUGCUGGCGUAAUGGCCGUAAGCGGC